rnacentral:rRNA from 1 species
UACGUAGGGGGCUAGCGUUGUCCGGAUUUAUUGGGCGUAAAGAGCGUGUAGGCGGCCAGGUAGGUCCGCUGUGAAAACUCGAGGCUCAACCUCGAGACGUCGGUGGAAACCAUCUGGCUAGAGUCCGGAAGAGGAGAGUGGAAUUCCCGGUGUAGCGGUGAAAUGCGCAGAUAUCGGGAAGAACACCAAAGGCGAAAGCACUCUGCUGGGCCGAAACUGACACUGAUAGACGAAAGCUAGGGGAGCAAAUGGG